UUGCCUACUCCAGCAGAGGUCAGGUCAGUUGAUAUUAUUCGUGCAAUAGUAGGCUGGAACAGUCAGAGGCAAGGAACUCUUACGCCACUCCACAAUACUCCGCAGGACGGAUAGGUCUAUUACUCCACAGUUGAAAUCCCAUUCAGGUUUCAAGAAGGUGUAUCAUCAAACUGAACUUUGCAUUUGGGAUCUUAGGGAGACAUGGAAUGCAGCUGCAUGAGGUAGCAGAGCAAAAAGAAUAAAUAAAAAGCCACAUACCAGGAGCAUUAUACUAUUAUAUCAUCAGGGUGAGAGAGAAAGAGAGAAGAUGGAGAGGUUGACGCAGGCAGGAGUCAUCUUCCUCAUUCUCCAGAGCCUGCUCAUUAAAGGUGGGAGGAGUGAAAUGCCCUUCAUCACAGCCCACGCCUGCGAGGGUUCCUACUUGGACCUGAAGUGUUCGAAUGAGACCCUGGUGCUGCACAUUAUACGGGCCAACUAUGGCCGCUUGUCCAACUCA